UACGGGGGGGGCAAGCGUUGUUCGGAAUUACUGGGCGUAAAGGGCUCGUAGGCGGCCAACUAAGUCAGACGUGAAAUCCCUCGGCUUAACCGGGGAACUGCGUCUGACACUGGAUGGCUUGAGUUCGGGAGAGGGAUGCGGAAUUCCAGGUGUAGCGGUGAAAUGCGUAGAUAUCUGGAGGAACACCGGUGGCGAAGGCGGCAUCCUGGACCGAUACUGACGCUGAGGAGCGAAAGCCAGGGGAGCAAACGGG
rnacentral:rRNA from 1 species